GUGCCAGCAGCCGCGGUAAGACGAACCGUGCGAACGUUGUUCGGAAUCACUGGGCUUAAAGGGCGCGUAGGUGGUCUGUCAAGUCAAGGGUGAAAUCUUUCGGCUCAACCGGAAAACUGCCUUCGAUACUGGCAGGCUAGAGGGAGAUAGGGGUUGCGGGAACUACCAGUGGAGCGGUGAAAUGCGUUGAUAUUGGUAGGAACGCCGGUGGCGAAAGCGCGCAACUGGACCUCUUCUGACACUGAGGCGCGAAAGCUAGGGGAGCAAACGGGAUUAGAAACCCCCGUAGUCC
rnacentral:rRNA from 1 species